rfam:Rhodnius prolixus Rhodnius_prolixus-3.0.3-6749.1, whole genome shotgun sequence.
GGGACUUCUCGGCCUUUUAGCUAAGAUCAAAGUGUAGUAUCUGUUCUUAUCAGCUUAAUCUUUGUUUUUAAGAAGUAAUUUUAUGAGGGUAUAAUUUUGAUUAUUUUACUUUUA